GUACGCUGGCGGCACGCCUAACACAUGCAAGUCGAACGAAGUAGCAAUACUUAGUGGCAGACGGGUGAGUAACAUGUGGGUAUCUGCCCUUUGGCCUGGAAUAACACGAGGAAACUUGUGCUAAUACCGGAUAAGUCUUUACGGAGAAAGCUUUAUGCACCAUUGGAUGAGCCCGCACUUGAUUAGUUUGUUGGUGGGGUAAUGGCCUACCAAGACUGUGAUCAAUAGCUGAUUUGAGAGGAUGAUCAGCCACAUUGGGACUGAGACACGGCCCAAACUCCUACGGGAGGCAGCAGUGGGGAAUCUUGCACAAUGGAGGAAACUCUGAUGCAGCGAUGCCGCGUGAGUGAAGAAGGCCCUUGGGUUGUAAAGCUCUUUCGUCGGGGAAGAAAAUGACUGUACCCGAAUAAGAAGGUCCGGCUAACUUCGUGCCAGCAGCCGCGGUAAUACGAAGGGACCUAGCGUAGUUCGGAAUUACUGGGCUUAAAGAGUUCGUAGGUGGUUGAAAAAGUUAGUGGUGAAAUCCCAGAGCUUAACUCUGGAACUGCCAUUAAAACUUUUCAGCUAGAGUAUGAUAGAGGAAAGCAGAAUUUCUAGUGUA
rnacentral:rRNA from 1 species